CGUGUUUCAGAUCGAUGAGGAGCAUCAGACCCAGAUUGAGCUGGAAAUCAGCCUCAUCACCACCUGGAAGGACACUCAGCUCUCUCAGGCCGGUGAUCUGAUCAUUGAAAUCUAUCUGGAGAUGAAGAUACCUGACUGCUGCAUAACUCUCAAAGUGUCUCCCACCAUGUGUGCUGAGGAGCUGACCAAUCAGGUUCUGUACAUGAGGAA